GAAAAGGACAGCAUCUCUUGUCAGUGUGGAAUAUGACCAGGGAAAAAUGAGAGGGAAAUCACAGAAGCCAUGGCAUUCCUGGACAUGACAAGAAAAGGACAGCAUCUCUUGUCAGUAUGGAAUAUGACCAGGAAAAAUGAGAGGGAAAUCACAGAAGCAAUGGCAUUCCUGGACAUGACAA
rnacentral:lncRNA from 1 species